rnacentral:lncRNA from 13 species
GUCACUGUCAGCCUCCAUAAAGAACUACCAAGGGGCUGCCCUGUGCCCUCUCAUAAUAUACGCUGAGUGUCACUGCCGGCCUCUGUCCAUAGGGCUGUCCCUAAUCAACUACUACCAAUUACAACUCAAGGGACGGUCCUGUCCCCUCACUAGGGACUGCCUUGUCCCUUCACAACCCUCAUCUUGUACACUUGAGCACAGGCUCAGAACCACAGCCCACCUCUACUGGCCUCGAUCAAGAACUACCAAUGACCAAGGGAGGGUCUGGGACUCACUCACAACAUCUCUCUCCCCCGACUGCCCCGUUUGUGCCCACCAAUAGAUCCACAGAGCACGCCUCACCCUCGCUCACCGUCUUUGGGAUUGUCCCCACCGAGGGUAAACUAACCAGUUUAACAACCCAACAUAACUCCAGCUUCUGUGUUUCAUCUCCAUGAAUAAUCCUCCCAGCCCUCAGGGCUCAUUUCUACUAAUCACAUUACACCACAGAGUGAGAAGAACACUGUUGUGUGAUGCUUGGCGUGUUCAAGAAGCCGUAGAGACAGUGGUUGGUGUUGGGUCAGUUUUUAAAGGUAAAAUGUUAAAACUCUGUAAAUCCAUAACAUGUUAUGACCAAACAGGAUAACUUUUUAAAAUCCUUUAUUUACUUGGCCUGAAGGGUAUUAUUAUUUUUUUAAUCUAUUUGAACAAAAUGACGUCGUUACAGUGUGUGGGAAAACUAGCGGUGGGAUUAAUCGUGUCCUUUUUAAAUAAAUAAAUAAAUCAAUAAUAAAUAAAAAUCUGCAGAGUGCAGGACGAAUGCAUCAGUCCUGUUCUGUCCCUGUGUGUCUACUCAACUGGCCUAUUUGUCUGCUACGGGACUAAGUAUGUGUGUGUGUGUGUGUGUGUAAAGUCAAUCCCACUGAGGCGACGGAGUUCACAGUGCAUCUCCAGUUUCAAAGGGUAUACUGGGGUUGAGAGUAGGGUCUUGGCCAAAACCAUAGUCCUGUGAUAUGGAGUAGGGGGGG